AGUGAACGCUGGCGGUAGGCCUAACACAUGCAAGUCGAACGGCAGCACAGUAAGAGCUUGCUCUUACGGGUGGCGAGUGGCGGACGGGUGAGGAAUACAUCGGAAUCUACUUUUUCGUGGGGGAUAACGUAGGGAAACUUACGCUAAUACCGCAUACGACCUACGGGUGAAAGCAGGGGAUCUUCGGACCUUGCGCGAUUGAAUGAGCCGAUGUCGGAUUAGCUAGUUGGCGGGGUAAAGGCCCACCAAGGCGACGAUCCGUAGCUGGUCUGAGAGGAUGAUCAGCCACACUGGAACUGAGACACGGUCCAGACUCCUACGGGAGGCAGCAGUGGGGAAUAUUGGACAAAGGGCGCAAGCCUGAUCCAGCCAUACCGCGUGGGUGAAGAAGGCCUUCGGGUUGUAAAGCCCUUUCGUUGGGAAAGAAAAGCAGCAGGUUAAUACCCCGCUGUUCUGACGGUACCCAAAGAAUAAGCACCGGCUAACUUCGUG
rnacentral:rRNA from 1 species